rnacentral:rRNA from 1 species
UACGUAGGGGGCAAGCGUUGUCCGGAUUUAUUGGGCGUAAAGAGCGUGUAGGCGGCCGUACAGGUCAGCUGUGAAAACUCGAGGCUCAACCUCGAGACGUCGGUUGAAACCGUACGGCUAGAGUCCGGAAGAGGAGAGUGGAAUUCCCAGUGUAGCGGUGAAAUGCGCAGAUAUCGGGAAGAACACCCGUGGCGAAGGCGGCUCUCUGGGACGGUACUGACGCUGAGACGCGAAAGCGUGGGGAGCGAACAGG